rnacentral:tRNA from 1 species
GUUAAUGUAGCUUAUAUACCAAAGCAAGGCACUGAAAAUGCCUAGAUGGAUUACAUAAUCCCAUAAACA